GCUUUGGGUUGGCCCAGUGGUUAGAGCUUAGGUCUCGUAACCGAAAGGUCGCGGGAUCGAAUCCCGCUAGAGGA
rnacentral:tRNA from 1 species